AACGAACGCUGGCGGCAGGCCUAACACAUGCAAGUCGAACGCCCCGCAAGGGGAGUGGCAGACGGGUGAGUAACGCGUGGGAACCUACCUUGUGGUACGGAACAACCAAGGGAAACUUUGGCUAAUACCGUAUGAGCCCGAGAGGGGAAAGAUUUAUCGCCAUGAGAUGGGCCCGCGUAGGAUUAGCUAGUUGGUGAGGUAAUGGCUCACCAAGGCGACGAUCCUUAGCUGGUCUGAGAGGAUGACCAGCCACACUGGGACUGAGACACGGCCCAGACUCCUACGGGAGGCAGCAGUGGGGAAUAUUGGACAAUGGGCGCAAGCCUGAUCCAGCCAUGCCGCGUGAGUGAUGAAGGCCUUAGGGUUGUAAAGCUCUUUCAGCUGGGAAGAUAAUGACGGUACCAGCAGAAGAAGCCCCGGCUAACUCCGUGCCAGCAGCCGCCGUAACAC
rnacentral:rRNA from 1 species